GAUGAACGCUGGCGGUAUGCCUAACACAUGCAAGUCGUACGAGAGUUUUUAACUCUAGUGGCGGACGGGUGAGUAACACGUGAGAAUUUGCCUUUAGGAGGGGGAUAACAAUUGGAAACGAAUGCUAAUACCCCAUAUGCUUUUGAGUGAAAUGGAUUUUAUCCGCCUAGAGAGAAGCUCGCGGCUGAUUAGCUUGUUGGUAAGGUAAGAGCUUACCAAGGCGACGAUCAGUAUCUGGUUUGAGAGGACGAUCAGACACACUGGAACUGAGACACGGUCCAGACUCCUACGGGAGGCAGCAGUGGGGAAUUUUGGACAAUGGGCGCAAGCCUGAUCCAGCCAUGCCGCGUGCGGGAAGAAGGCCUUCGGGUUGUAAACCGCUUUGUCAGGGAAGAAAUACUUCUGGGUCUAAUACCUCGGGAGGA
rnacentral:rRNA from 1 species